UACAGAGGGGGCAAGCGUUGUUCGGAAUUACUGGGCGUAAAGGGCGCGUAGGCGGCCUGCUAAGUCGAACGUGAAAUCCCUGGGCUCAACCCAGGAACUGCGUCCGAUACUGGCAGGCUUGAAUCCGGGAGAGGGAUGCGGAAUUCCAGGUGUAGCGGUGAAAUGCGUAGAUAUCUGGAGGAACACCGGUGGCGAAGGCGGCAUCCUGGACCGGCAUUGACGCUGAGGCGCGAAAGCUAGGGGAGCAAACGGG
rnacentral:rRNA from 1 species